UUAUGAAGCAAUAAUGCAUGGAAAACA
rnacentral:sRNA from 1 species